UUCCGGUUGAUCCCGCCGGAGGCCAUUGCUAUCGGAGUCCGAUUUAGCCAUGCUAGUCGAGCGAGGUUAGCCCUCGCGGCGAACAGCUCAGUAACACGUGGCCAAGCUACCCUGCAGAGGGGGACAGCGUCGGGAAACUGACGGGAAUCCCCCAUACCGGUCUCACGCUGGAAUGCCGAGACCGACAAACGCUCCGGCGCUGCAGGAUGCGGCUGCGGCCGAUUAGGUAGUCGGUGGGGUAACGGCCCACCGAGCCGAUAAUUGGUACGGGGUGUGAGAGCACGAGCCCGGAGACGGAAUCUGAGACAAGAUUCCGGGCCCUACGGGGCGCAGCAGGCGCGAAACCUUUACACUGCACGAACGUGCGAUAAGGGGACUCCGAGUGCGAGGGCAUACAGUCCUCGCUAUUGUGUACCGUAGGGUGGUACACGACCAAGAGCUGGGCAAGACCGGUGCCAGCCGCCGCGGUAAUACCGGCAGCUCGAGUGAUGGCCGAUUUUAUUGGGCCUAAAGCGUCCGUAGCUGGCCCUGCAAGUCCGUCGGGAAAUCCACUCGCCUAACGAGUGGGCGUCCGGCGGAAACUCCAGGGCUUGGGACCGGAAGACUUGAGGGGUACGUCUGGGGUAGGAGUGAAAUCCUGUAAUCCUGGACGGACCGCCGAUAGCGAAAGCACCUCAAGACGACGGAUCCGACAGUGAGGGACGAAAGCUAGGGUCUCGAACCGGAUUAGAUACCCGGGUAGUCCUAGCUGUAAACGAUGUUCGCUAGAUGUGGCACAGGCUACGUGCCUGUGCUGUGUCGUAGGGAAGCCGAGAAGCGAACCGCCUGGGAAGUACGUCCGCAAGGAUGAAACUUUAAGGAAUUG
rnacentral:rRNA from 1 species